rnacentral:tRNA from 1 species
GGGAGGAAAGCAUGAAUGUGCGGUUAACUUGAAAUUAACAGGUGGUAGUUAGAAUCUACCUCUUCUCG